UACGUAGGGUGCGAGCGUUAAUCGGAAUUACUGGGCGUAAAGCGUGCGCAGGCGGCGCGUUAAGACAGGUGUGAAAGCCCCGAGCUUAACUUGGGAAUUGCGCUUGUGACUGGCGAGCUGGAGUGUGGCAGAGGGAGGUGGAAUUCCACGUGUAGCAGUGAAAUGCGUAGAGAUGUGAAGGAACACCGAUGGCGAAGGCAGCCUCCUGGGCCAGCACUGACGCUCAUGCACGAAAGCGUGGGGAGCAAACAGG
rnacentral:rRNA from 1 species